UGUGGAAUAUUGCACAAUGGGCGCAAGCCUGAUGCAGCCAUGCCGCGUGUAUGAAGAAGGCCUUCGGGUUGUAAAGUACUUUCAGCGGGGAGGAAGGGAGUAAAGUUAAUACCUUUGCUCAUUGACGUUACCCGCAGAAGAAGCACCGGCUAACUCCGUGCCAGCAGCCGCGGUAAUACGGAGGGUGCAAGCGUUAAUCGGAAUUACUGGGCGUAAAGCGCACGCAGGCGGUUUGUUAAGUCAGAUGUGAAAUCCUCGGGCUCAACCUGGGAACUGCAUCUGAUACUGGCAAGCUUGAGUCUCGUAGAGGGGGGUAGAAUUCCAGGUGUAGCGGUGAAAUGCGUAGAGAUCUGGAGGAAUACCGGUGGCGAAGGCGGCCCCCUGGACGAAGACUGACGCUCAGGUGCGAAAGCGUGGGGAGCAAACAGG
rnacentral:rRNA from 1 species